rnacentral:rRNA from 1 species
UUUAAAACCCCACUCUUAUAAAUUGAAUCAUUUUAUAUUAUGUAUGUAAUAAAUAAAGAUCACUUUCAACAACGGAUCUCUUGGCUCUCGCAUCGAUGAAGAACGUAGCGAAGUGCGAUAAGUAAUGUGAAUUGCAGAAUUCCGUGAAUCA